ensembl:misc_RNA
GGGGUUGGGAUGUAGAUGUUUGAAGCAAAUGUGUAUAAAUAAAUGAAUUGCUGAUAACUUAGUUUUUGACCUGGAGACUGGUAGAUUAAAGAAGCUCCA